GACGAACGCUGGCGGCGUGCUUAACACAUGCAAGUCGAACGAAGUGGCGCACGGGUGAGUAACGCGUAAUCAACCUGCCCUUCAGCGGGGGACACCAGUUGGAAACGACUGCUAAUACCGCAUACUUACGGAGGGGGUUGCGUCUGAUUAGCUAGUUGGAGGGGUAACGUCCCACAAAGGCGAGGAUCAGUAGCCGGUCUGAGAGGAGGAACGGCCCAAUUGGGACUGAGAAACGGCACAGACGACGAAGGGAGGCAGCAGUGGGGAAUCUUCCGCAAUGGACGAAAGUCUGACGGAGCAACGCCGCGUGAGUGAUGACGGCCUUCGGGUUGUAAAGCUCUGUUAAUCGGGACGCGGUACCGGAAUAGAAAGCCACGGCUAACUACGUGCCAGCAGCCGCGGUAAUUC
rnacentral:rRNA from 1 species